AGAGAGAGACAUGCGCGCAUAUCAAUAAGCGGAGGAAAAGAAACUAACAAGGAUUCCCCUAGUAACGGCGAGUGAAGCGGGAAGAGCUCAAAUUUGAAAUCUUAAAGGGUUUCCCUUUACGAAUUGUAGUUUAAAGAAGUGUUUUCUGUUGAGGUUUUGGUAAAAGUUCUUUGGAAUAGGACAUCAUAGAGGGUGAGAAUCCCGUAUUUGACCUUUACUUUCAACUUUGUGAUACACUUUCAAAGAGUCGGAUUGUUUGGGAAUGCAGUCCAAAAUGGGUGGUAAAUUUCAUCUAAAGCUAAAUAUUGGCGAGAGACCGAUAGCGAACAAGUACCGUGAGGGAAAGAUGAAAAGAACUUUGAAAAGAGAGUUAAACAGUACGUGAAAUUGUCAAAAGGGAAGCGUUUGACACCAGUGUUGUUUUUCUGAAAAUCAAUUAAAGAACUGUUUAUGCUAAGUUGUUUAGACUUUAUCAGCUAACUGUUUAGUUUUGAGCUUUUCUUUAAUGCACUUUUCAGUUAACAAGUCAACAUCAAUUUCUUUUGCUGUAAAAAAGCUUGAGGAAGGUGGCUUGAGAUUCGUCUUAAGUGUUUAUAGCCUCUUGCCUAUGCAGUCGGAGAGAUUGAGGUCUGCAGCGUAGAUCCUUCGGGGCUAAUGCAUUUGUGCUAAGUUAUAGCAUUUUAUAGACAACUUGUUGACUAUGAUUUGUCUUGUAGCUUACUCGCUUAUGUUAUUUUACCUACGCUUAGGAUGUUGACGCAUGAGAUAUACGC
rnacentral:rRNA from 1 species